rnacentral:rRNA from 1 species
UACGAAGGGGGCUAGCGUUGCUCGGAAUCACUGGGCGUAAAGGGUGCGUAGGCGGGUUUUUAAGUCAGGGGUGAAAUCCUGGAGCUCAACUCCAGAACUGCCUUUGAUACUGAAGAUCUUGAGUCCGGGAGAGGUGAGUGGAACUGCGAGUGUAGAGGUGAAAUUCGUAGAUAUUCGCAAGAACACCAGUGGCGAAGGCGGCUCACUGGCCCGGUACUGACGCUGAGGCACGAAAGCGUGGGGAUCAAACAGG